rnacentral:rRNA from 1 species
GACGAACGCUGGCGGCGUGCUUAACACAUGCACGUCGACCGAAGUGGCGAACGGGUGAGUAACGCGUAAUCCACCUGCCCUUCAGAGGGGGACAACAGGUGGCAACGAAUGCUAAUACCGCAAACUGAAGGAGGGGAUUGCGGCGGAUUAGCUAGUUGGAGGGGAAACGGCCCACGAAGGCGAUGAUCAGUCGACGGGCUGCGAGGGUGAGAGGACAAGUGGGGACUGAGACACGGCCCAGCAUCCUACGGGCGGCAGCAGGGGGGAAUGUGCCGCAAUGUAAGAAAGUCUGACGGAGCAACGCAGGGGGAGUGGUGACGGCCUUCGGGUUGUAAAGCUCUGGGAAUCGGGAAGCGGUACCGGAAUAGAAAGCCACGGCUAACGACGUGUCAGCCGCCGAGGUAAUAC